rnacentral:rRNA from 1 species
UACGGGGGGGAGCAAGCGUUGUUCGGAUUUACUGGGCGUAAAGGGCGCGUAGGCGGCCACCGCAAGUCGACUGUGAAAUCUCCGGGCUUAACCCGGAAAGGUCAGCCGAUACUGCGGGGCUAGAGUGCAGAAGGGGCAACUGGAAUUCUCGGUGUAGCGGUGAAAUGCGUAGAUAUCGAGAGGAACACCUGCGGCGAAGGCGGGUUGCUGGGCUGAUACUGACGCUGAGGCGCGAAAGCUAGGGGAGCGAACGGG